rnacentral:lncRNA from 1 species
GUCCUUGCCAACCUGGGUCGUUCAACUGGGAUUGACCCACAAUAUCGAGCUGCCAUUGUGAAGGUAUAUUUGAAUGGAACACACAUUGGUUUGGAAUGGAGCUAACCUACUGAUGGUGCCUUAAAAAGCGACAACAGAGAGGAGAGAGCAGAAUGAGCUGUGCCCAUACCGUAGAUCUUUGUGUUCUUCACCCCAGGUCAGCCAUCUACUAAUCCUGCAGUGAUCUUUGAGAACUCGGAACAAAUAGAAGCUUUCCUGAAAGGCUCCUGUUGUUUCCUGCAGCAAUUUCCGACUCAGAGUCAAUAAAUUAAUUCAGUCUUGUGCUCAGCAAGAAGUUCGAGCUCAGCUCCAAAAAGUACAAAUGCACAACCCGUCGUUGCUGCUGUAAGCACUCUGUGUGCUGCUAGAAUGCCUUCAUACCGGGCUGCAAAAGUCUCUAGGGAUGUAUGUGGGUUAUUCUCCAGCUCCAGUAAGCGAAACAAAAGCGAAGCAUGGAAUGGGCACGCGGUGCUCAAACCUGGGGAGCUCCCAUCGGCAUUUUGUACCUGCUGAGAAUCAGGGGAAUUUCAAGAGAAAUCCAGAACUUCAAGCCACUGCAGAAGGGCUGUUUCUGGAACCUGAAUUACCAUUCCUUCAGCUAACUCGGGCACCUCUGACGCUGUUGGAAGUACAGCCUAAGCUGAAUGCAAAGGACAAAAAGUACGCUGAAUUGUUUAAAACCAUAUCUACACAUUUUUAAUUUAAAAAAAUACAUGAUUAGCAGAAAAAAAAAAUGGUGUAUGAAAACAUGGUUUUGGCUUUUUAAUCCCAUUUGGCCAAGCUAAGAGCACUAAAAAAGAGAAAAGAAUUUCUCCUCGAUGCAUUUGGGUUGUCUCUCUCAUGGAAAAUGAUGUCUAAAGCCCCAGAACUGGAAGACAGUUUUAGGCAGCACUGCCUGUAAUUCUCCUCUAAAGACAGUAUAAUACAAACACCAAAAGCAGAUCAGUUUCUCCUUUUAUACAUAUAUAUGAAACCAGAAACUGGAAGGAAGUAACAUUUUACACGUGGAAAACAGAGAUCUGGCAUGAGACAUAGAGACUUCCAAGGCCAGGCUGGACCGGGCUCUGAUGGGGCACCUGAUGGAGCUGAGGAUGUCCCUGCUCAUUGCUGGGAGGUUGGACCAGAUGGUUUUUAAAAGUCCCUUCCAACUCUAAGCUAUGAUUCUACCAUUCUAUAAUAAAAGUUGAGAACAAAGUCUUCCUUACUCCA